rnacentral:misc_RNA from 1 species
GACAAAGUCACAAGACUUGUCUCAAGAAAUGUGUAGAACAAAAAUAGAAGAAAAUAUUUAUAAUUUAAUGCCCCAACACAAUUUACGACCCAUACACAAUGAUGGUCCAUCUUUAGCACACACCUCCCACAAACAGAGCAAUGGUGGCAACGAGGUGGUUUCAGCUGGUUGCACUUCCGGCAGUACCGGAUUCUUUGAUUGGAUGGAUUGGCCGGCAGGCCAUUGAAAUCUGAGGCAUUUAAUGGGUAAGCCUCACCUCUUUCCUCUUCAACAGCAGGCCUCCAAUUAGAAGGCACACUACCAGGAUCAGUUAAAACAACAGAAAAGUAACU